UGAACCUGAAGAAACACCUAUUUGACAAGGCUUUCCUAGGAGUUGUGGGCAUUUCCAGGGGUAGUUUUAUGACCCUGGUGGUAGUUUGACCCUUCCUCUGUACCAUGAACCUGAAGAAACACCUAUUUGACAAGGCUUUCCUAGGAGUUGUGGGCAUUUCCAGGGGUAGUUUUAUGACCCUGGUGGUAGUUUGACCCUUCCUCUGUACCAUGAACCUGAAGAAACACCUAUUUGACAAGGCUUUCCUAGGAGUUGUGGGCAUUUCCAGGGGUAGUUUUAUGACCCUGGUGGUAGUUUGACCCUUCCUCUGUACCAUGAACCUGAAGAAACACCUAUUUGACAAGGCUUUCCUAGGAGUUGUGGGCAUUUCCAGGGGUAGUUUUAUGACCCUGGUGGUAGUUUGACCCUUCCUCUGUACCAUGAACCUGAAGAAACACCUAUUUGACAAGGCUUU